UAGCAUUCCAGUAGACCCUUUCUAGCUCACUCACAUAGCUUUUAAGGGGGGACAGUGAAUGCCACAGCAAUCUGGAUUGGCCUGCUGGCUUUCAUCCUUCUACUAUUGGCUGAUUGCUUUGCAGCAUCCAGACAAUU